rnacentral:rRNA from 1 species
GACGAACGCUGGCGGCGGGCUUAACACAUGCAAGUCGAACGGAAAGUCCCUGCUUUUGUGGGGUGCUCGAGUGGCGAACGGGUGAGUAACACGUGAGUAACCUGCCCUUGACUUUGGGAUAACUUCAGGAAACUGGGGCUAAUACCGGAUAGGAGCUCCUGCUGCAUGGUGGGGGUUGGAAAGUUUCGGCGGUUGGGGAUGGACUGGCGGCUUAUCAGCUUGUUGGUGGGGUAGUGGCUUACCAAGGCUUUGACGGGUAGACGGCCUGAGAGGGUGACCGGCCACACUGGGACUGAGAUACGGCACAGCCUCAUCCGGGAGGCAGCAGUGGAGAAUAUUGUACAAUGGGAGGAAGGAUGAUGCAGCGACGCCGCGCGCGGGAUGACGGCAUUCGGGUUGUAAACCGCUUUCGUCUGUGACGAAGCGUGAGUGACGGUAAUGGGUAAAGAAGCACCGGCUAACUACGUG